UGGAUAGCUCAGCUGGUUAGAGCAUGGUGCUAAAAAGACCAAGGUUGCAGGUUCAAACCCCGUAUAGGACAG